rnacentral:rRNA from 1 species
GUGCCAGCCGCCGCGGUAAUACGUAGGUGGCAAGCGUUGUCCGGAAUCAUUGGGCGUAAAGGGCGUGUAGGUGGAUUCUUAAGUCGUGUGUCUAAGUGCGGGGCUCAACCCCGUAUGGGCGCAGGAAACUGGGGAUCUUGAGUGCAGGAGAGGAAAGUGGAAUUCCCAGUGUAGCGGUGAACUGAGUUGAUAUUGGGAGGAACACCAGUGGCGAAGGCGCCUUUCUGGACUGUGUCUGACACUGCGGCGCG